UACGUAGGGGGCAAGCGUUGUCCGGAAUCAUUGGGCGUAAAGCGCGCGUAGGCGGCCCUGUAAGUCCGUUGUGAAAGUCGAAGGCUCAACCUUCGAAAGCCGAUGGAUACUGCAGGGCUAGAGUCCGGAAGAGGCGAGUGGAAUUCCCGGUGUAGCAGUGAAAUGCGUAGAGAUCGGGAGGAACAUCAGUUGCGAAGGCGGCUCUCUGGACCAGCACUGACACUGAGGCACGAAAGCGUGGGGAGCAAACAGG
rnacentral:rRNA from 1 species